GGAGUUAGCCGGUGCUUCUUCUGUGAGUGAUGUCCUUCCUGCCGGCUAUUAACCCGCAGGCCUUCUUCCUCACUGAAAGUGCUUUACAACCCGAAGGCCUUCUUCACACACGCGGCAUGGCUGGAUCAGGGUUGCCCCCAUUGUCCAAUAUUCCCCACUGCUGCCUCCCGUAGGAGUCUGGGCCGUGUCUCAGUCCCAGUGUGGCUGAUCAUCCUCUCAGACCAGCUACGGAUCGUCGCCUUGGUGAGCCGUUACCUCACCAACCAGCUAAUCCGACAUAGGCUCAUCCGAUAGCGCGAGGCCCGAAGGUCCCCCGCUUUCCCCCGUAGGGCGUAUGCGGUAUUAGCCUGGGUUUCCCCAGGUUAUCCCCCGACUACCGGGCAGAUUCCUAUGCAUUACUCACCCGUCCGCCGCUCGCCACCAGGGAGCAAGCUCCCCGUGCUGCCGCUCGACUUGCAUGUGUUAGGCCUGCCGCCAGCGUUCAAUCUGAGCCAUAAUCAAACUCUGA
rnacentral:rRNA from 1 species